GUAUCUAUCGCUUAGAGGUCAAUAGCGAUGAGCUCAUGACUCAUUAUACCAUAUCAGUAGUUCGAAUCUACUUAGAUACA
rnacentral:tRNA from 1 species